rnacentral:misc_RNA from 1 species
GCAAACUUGGUCAUUUAGAGGAAGUAAAAGUCGUAACAAGGUUUCCGUAGGUGAACCUGCGGAAGGAUCAUUAUCAAUACCUUGCUUGCUUGGAUGGAGCAAUCCGUUCUGCAACAAAACCCCCUCUGCGUAUCUGUACAACGUUGCUUCCGCCAGACUGUGGGAACGUCCCCCUGGGGCGGGCCCCCUCCGGUGCCUGGCCAAACGCGGCCGGCUGGGGAGAUGCUGGCGGGUAGCCUGUAUUAAAAACUCUGUCAUUAUCUGUGCCAACUGUCUGAGCUUUUAUGCUAGAAUAAAAACAAGUUAAAACUUUCAACAACGGAUCUCUUGGUUCUCGCAUCGAUGAAGAACGCAGC